GAUGAACGCUAGCUACAGGCUUAACACAUGCAAGUCGAGGGGCAGCAUGGUCUUAGCUUGCUAAGGCCGAUGGCGACCGGCGCACGGGUGAGUAACACGUAUCCAACCUGCCGUCUACUCUUGGACAGCCUUCUGAAAGGAAGAUUAAUACAAGAUGGCAUCAUGAGUCCGCAUGUUCACAUGAUUAAAGGUAUUCCGGUAGACGAUGGGGAUGCGUUCCAUUAGAUAGUAGGCGGGGUAACGGCCCACCUAGUCUUCGAUGGAUAGGGGUUCUGAGAGGAAGGUUCCCCACAUUGGAACUGAGACACGGUCCAAACUCCUACGGGAGGCAGCAGUGAGGAAUAUUGGUCAAUGGGCGAGAGCCUGAACCAGCCAAGUAGCGUGAAGGACGACUGCCCUAUGGGUUGUAAACUUCUUUUAUAAAGGAAUAAAGUCGGGUAUGGAUACCCGUUUGCAUGUACUUUAUGAAUAAGGAUCGGCUAACUCCGUG
rnacentral:rRNA from 1 species